GAUGAACGCUGGCGGCGUGCCUAAUACAUGCAAGUCGAGCGAACGAACGAGAAGCUUUCUUUUCUGAUGUUAGCGGCGGACGGGUGAGUAACACGUGGAUAACCUACCUAUAAGACUGGGAUAACUUCGGGAAACCUGAGCUAAUACCGGAUAUUAUGUUGAACCGCAUGGUUCAACAGUGAAAGACGGUCUUGCUGUCACUUAUAGAUGGAUCCGCGCUGCAUUAGCUAGUUGGUAAGGUAACGGCUUACCAAGGCAACGAUGCAUAGCCGACCUGAGAGGGUGAUCGGCCACACUGGAACUGAGACACGGUCCAGACUCCUACGGGAGGCAGCAGUAGGGAAUCUUCCGCAAUGGGCGAAAGCCUGACGGAGCCACGCCGCGUGAGUGAUGAAGGUCUUCGGAUCGUAAAGCUCUUUUAUUUGGGAAGAAGAUAUGUGUGAGUAACUGUGCACGUCUUGACGGUACCUAAUCAGAAAGCCACGGCUAACUACGUG
rnacentral:rRNA from 1 species